GUGUGUUAAUGAGCUAUCUCUUGAAUUUGUCCAUUGAUCGUGUCUCAGAAAUAUUUUCUCAUUGUUUCAUCACACUGAAACUUUGGCCAAGAAAUGUUUAAAAUUCAAAGCAUUGAUAUCAAUUUCCCCCCCCUUUUUUUUUAAAGGCAACUUACAAGAUUAAAAUUAAAUUUGGUUGAUGAUGGUUCUGGACAAAUACAGCUCUUUUAUUUGAGGUAUGCCAUUUUGAAGACAGACCCGUGGAAUUUUAUCCUUGAGGAUAGGGGAAAUCUUUGUGAAAGUCUGUAUUUUAUAAAGCAAAAAGAAUAUAUCACUAAAGGUUGUCAGUGCAACAUAAAUUGUAUACUCAUUAUCUUGAGAAAGGGAUGAGAAAAAGCCCAUCAAAUUCUUUACCUUACAUCAAAGCAGUUUUGUGUUAAAACAUUAAAACAGUUGAUACAUGUAAUUUGUAACAGAGCGAUGAGACAUUUGAUGUUUUUCAAUCAAAUGGUGCUUUAGGGUUAUGGUUAAAUCAAUAGUUGAGUCAUCAGAAUUAUGUAUCUUUACAAUCUGAAAUGUACAUUCUGUAGACAUUUUUUUGUGAUGCAGAUUACAAAUGACCUAGAAUUUUGUAGUUGCAGCUCUUAUGAUUCUAAGGAACUAUAUUUCAAAAGCUAAAUACACUUUCAUAUUCUAGUUAUUAUGUAGUGAAUUUAAAAUUCUGAUUUUUUUUCUGUUUUUAUGAGUUCGCUUUCAAAUAGGCACAAAAAUAAGUAAGUUAUCUGAUAGGAAACUAGAAUAAUACGGCUGAGGAGACCUUGAAAAAUGUAGCUUAGUCUUUUUAAAGCAUAAGAAGGAAGAAAUAAUUUCAACAUAUGUGUGAUGUUUUGACAUCUUAAAGCUAGACAUAUGAAUGAAAAAAUAUGUACAAUGAAAAUUUUCAGGAAUUAUUUCCUACUCUUAAGUUAACACUAAAUGUGGAAAUAAAUGCCAAGCCAAUAUUAGCAAGGGAUUUACCAGAGGAAAUAUGUAAUAUAAUGAGAUAUCUUGGGAAAUUUUAAGAAUAGCCAAAUAACCAACUAGUUAACAUGAGGGCAGGUUUACCUUUGUGCUUGUAAUUUUUGUGGAAUAUCUUUUAUCUGUUGUUGUUGACUUAUUCUGUUGAUACAAAUAGGUGAUAAAAAGUAUUAUUUUUUUUACCUUUGCUUUAGCUUAAUUUUUGCCUUUCAGUCCUUUUGCAAUUUGACCAAAUUUGUGUUUAUUAUAGUGUGCAAAAGGAAACCAAAUGUUAGACCUUUAUACUUUUAAAAGAUGUAGCAUAUAUAGAAAAGUCAGUAUCUUUCAUCCUAAGUUUCUUUAAUACAAAUGUCAAGUUUAGGGUUUUCUCUGUGUAAAUGAUUGGAUAUUGGAUUGGCAUUCAGAUGUGGUUAGGCAUUGCUAUAAAAAUUGAGAAUUGAGCCUCUUAAGACACAAAUAUAUUUGAAGUUUAAUGUAAAUUUAAGCAUAAAUUGACAGUAAAUUUAUAAUCGCCUACCAGAGGUAUAAUUUGACCCAUAAAAAAAGAAUAAAGAAGAUUAGAAACAUUAAAUGAAGAUUAUCCUUUUUAGUCUAGUAUUAGUAAUUAUAAAAAUAACAAAUGAUACGGUAAGUUCUACAUUAAUGUAAUAGAAUACAGCUUUCUUUUUAUUAUCAACAAGGCAAAAGUAAUAAAUUACAUUUUAAAAAGAUCUGCAUGGACUUCUGAGCCAAGCUUGUAAAAUUUGCAAUGUUUUUGAUGUAUAAAAAUAGUGGAUUCAUGAGAAUAAAAUGAAGAUACUACUUUAAAUUACUAUAUUUCAUAAAUAAUUUACUUUGCUACCAUUUUCUGCUUAAGAGCCAGAGUGAUAAAUGCUUAAAUAUUUGUUUUUAUUUUAGCAUUUUGAAUCUUGAACCAUAAAAAUCACCUGAUCAAGUUGGUGAUUGGGUUGCAUUGCAUUUGUUAGUUAUAGUAAUAACUGUUUAAAAAAUUACCCGAAGUUCCACAGAAAUGAAAGAAACCAUGCCUGUAGUUAAUACAAGGUUGUUAUGAACUAUACAUGUCACUAAGAGGCUAGAUUAUAUGAAAUUAAUCUUGGAAGGCCGUUAGGCUUACCAUUAUACCAUCAAUGUACACUGAAAUAGGUAAUUUUGAAUACAAAUUUUCUUUUAAGUUUAGUUUACUAUUACCCGAAGUUUCUUAUUUAAAAAUUUGGACUGUGGACAGCCAAUUAAUUUACCUUUUCUAUGAGAUUUAUACUUUUUUGAGAGGCUUAGGGGGAAAAAGAUAAUUUGAGGACCUCUCCAUCUCUUGCAUUGAUGAGAGGUGUGUGAUAGAGCAGAAAGUAUAACUCUGAUGCAGCAGUCAGGAGAGCUGGCUUCUAACCUAAAUUACCCUUGUGAUUUUGACGUUUUAUUCAUUGUGGCCCUUCUCUUAAUUUGUUUAAAGUAUUUGAAAUAUUCAAUUUCUUAUGAUACCUUUUUGGUCUCAAAUUGUGUGGUAAAAAUAAUAGAAUGUCUUGAUUCUCUUAAACUGCCUAAUUAUUUUUGUAGUUUUUGAAUUGCAAAUCAUGGUUGUUAUUUCUGUGGUGAAGUUAAUUUGAAUAACAAGACCUGGGUGAUAAUGUACCCAGCUUUCCUAAUUUUAGGCAUUCCAUAAUAUUAAUAAAUAGUAUAAAGCAGACAUAAUGGAAAGUUAAUCUUAAAAAGCAGUUAAGGUGUGAAAUUGUCUUUAAAAAACAAAGAUUUAGAAGGCUACAAUAAAAACAUUGUUUGAAUUUUUGCCUAGUUAUUUUAUUAAAUAAUUUAAAGAUUAGUGUAUUUAAGGUAAUUUCCACCUGACCAUCUGAUUAUAAAUGGUGAUUUAUAAUUUACAUGCUUGACAUAAUCUUUUUAAGAAGUUUCUAUUCUUCAAUGAUAAAUAUACCUCAUUUACCUUUUCCCUUACAGAUCGAGUGGCUCAAAACAGACAGUUUUCAUAUUGGCUGUUAGUGCUGAAUAUAGAUAAUUUUUAAAAUUUAAAUUCAAGGAUACUCUCAACUUUCUAAAGCAAAAACUGACUUUAUUUACGUAACAUUCAAGUAGCAUGUUUCUUACCGUUUGAUAAAGUUUUAUACAUUGUAUAAAGCUAGAUCCCUGUUUUAAAAGAUAGUUCUUUGUUUUUUGAAACUAUUCCAUUUAUUUGAAAUUGAAUAUUUCCUAAGCAAGCAAUUAUAUCCUUAAUGUGAUAGAGUCAUUUCAAUUUAGGUUAUUAAGCUAGAUAUUUUGCUUAACAUUAAUGGUUUGUGAGUUGUGAUGUUUUCUUAUAUAACUGUUAAUGAAUUUAUCACUACCUUAUUUUUGUGGAAGAUUUCUUAUAUUUCACAGUACUCUCAGGUUUAAUUCUUAAUUUAAAUGUAAAAAUUGUUUUAGGGACUUUAAAAGGUGACAAAAUCAGGAGUUCCCAUCGUGGUGCAGCAGAAACAAUCCAGCUAGGAACCAAGAGGUUUUGGGUUCGGAUCUCUGCUCUGUGGGUUAAGGAUCUGGCAUUACCAUGAGCUGUGGUGUAGGUUGCAGAUGUUCAGACUUGGCGUUGCUGUGGCUGCUGUGGCAUAGGCUGGCAGCUUGGAUUGGAUCCCUAGCCUGGGAACCUCCAUAUGCUGUGGGUGCAGCCCCCCCCCAAAAAAAAGGUGACAAAAUAAAAUAUUCUUAGAUGCACAAAUGGGCUAGUAAUGGUAGGACUUGAUUCAGGCCAUCUUGUCUUUUAUUAUGACAAGCAAUCAAAAUUGUUAUUUGCAUUAUAGCUAUAAUUUCAUACUAAAUGAGGAUCUUUGAUACUGCAAAAUAUUAAAAAUAGGUAGGCAUGUGAGCAAAAUUAUCAACUUUGAUAGUUUGCUUAAUGUGAACUUGGUUUACCUCCCCCUUAAAAGGAGGGCUGAGUGGGCCGAGUACUGCUUUGUCAGUGUUUAGAAAGGAAAUUGUAUGGCAGGUUAAAUGGGUGUCAGUAAUCUUUGUGGUGGUACAAGAUGUGACCCAGGUCAUCUUCUGUUUUUGGUGGACUGAGCACCUUGAGCCCUAAUACUUGUACUGGUAGGUAGCCUUUUUUUCCUUUUUUUCUUUUUUUUAAAUUAGAGUACAGUUGAUUUACAAGUAGGUAGCUUUUUUGUAAGCAGGUUCUCAGACUGAUGUGAUAGAUUUCCCUCAGACUUUGCUUUCACCCAACAUUCCUUAGGUCAUUUCCACCCUUCUCUUGGGGUUUAUAUCAAUUUAUUUUACUUGGCUGAUUUAGAAUUUGUCUUUGUUCACAAACUUUUCUUUAUAAAGUCAGAUUAAAUUUGGAAGUUUAAGAAUAAAUAAUGCUGUGUUUCUUGUAAAUUGCUUCAUUUAUUAACUUCUUGGGAGGAUAUUUUAGCAUGUUGCUCUUAAAAGUAAUUUUGAAGCAGAUCUUUGCAAUAUUUCUUGGUUGUGAUUAGUCAAAAUGAUUAAAGGGAUUUAGAUUUGGUAAGAUAAUCAGGAAGUUGGCUUUAAAGUUUGAAAAUUGGAAACCUUAGUCAUGGAAAAGCAUUUGGGUAAGCAUAGUUUUAGAUUAAGUCCUAAACUUUGGCUUUCUAAAAAUCCUUACAUUGCUACACUUAAAUAGUGAACUUUUAAACAAAGCUUUUUGGGUAGUUCUAGCUAUUGUGAUUAUUAUGAUCAACUUAGGAGCAGGAGAGACUGAAAAAAGUGUAUACCUAUGUUCUCAAAAAUGUAUUUGAGAUGUAGGAAACAUCUUUCACAUGAGGUAUUUCAGUCUAACUAGUGAACUAACUAGUGAAGACUAUGGAUGUAUCCUGAUCAAGCAAAUAUUUUUAGGAAGGGUUAGUAUUGAGUAGGUCAUUGUAAGUAGUAGUACAAAAAGCUUGACAUUUUAAGAUUUCGAUCCUAGAACAGUGUUGAUUAGAGUACAUGAUAAUGUGAAAUAAUAUGGUAAUAUUAAGGAGUGAGUAAUACGGCCUUGCCAGGUUGGUAAUGGAAGUUUUCCUUUAGAAGUCUUAAAAGUAGAUUAGAUGAAAGACUAGAAAAUAAAGUAAUUCUGUGCUGUUAAGGAGUGAUAUUGGCUUUUAUAUUAAUCAGCUACCUCUCAGCUGCCCAUUAGAUCUACCUAAAGAGCCCAGACUUUACUAGGGAGUUCUUGGAGCAUGAGAAAUGUUUUUACUCUACAGGUGAGCCUUCUGAACAGUCAAAUUUAAGAUCCUCUGGAUUAGAACUUUGUUGUUUUGUUUUGUUUUGUUUUGUUUUGGAUUAGAACUUUUGGCUACAUUUAUAAAUGCACAUAUGUCUUGGUCUUUUGGAGAGUGAUCCUGAUAAGGUGUUGAAAUUUCCAAAUCUAUUUUUGUCUUUUUUGUAUGUGUACAAUUAUAUUCUUUUUGUUUUCUGCAGCAAUAUGAAUCCUGAGGCUGAAUUGUCUAAGGGGCCUGUACAGCGAAAUAGAUGUAAGUUUUACUCAAUUUACAUGUUUAAUUUGUUUUUUACUUUUACAUGUGACUUUGGAAAUUCUGAGUAAUUGAGUCAGAGUCUCUAAAAAUGUAGAAGAAUUUAGUGAAGUUCCAAGCAGUACAGAUGUAAAUCAACAUAGAUGUAUGUGGCUUAUUAUUAAAAUUUUGGUUAUUAUUCCAACCUCUUUUCCUUUCUUUACUUAAAGAGAGGUAUAAAUGGAUGGAAGGAAACUCACAUUUGAACAUUCUUCUAAUACUGCACCCUAGCUGUUGGUAAGCUCCCCAUUUUUAUAAAUAAAGUUUUAUUGGAACACAGCUAAGCUCUUUCAUUUACGUAUUAGCUGUGUCUGCUUUCUGACUACAGCUGCAGAGAGUAGAUUUAGCUAAUGGCCACAAACCCUAACAUAUUUAGUUAUUUAGUAUUUUAACCUGUAAGGAAAUCUUGCCUAUCCUUUCCCUAGAUUCAUCCUUUUUGUCAACUUUAUGUAGAACUCAAAAGCACUUGGAUUCUCUUAAUAAUGGGGGUGUACCUUUUACUUUGUUAGUAUUUCAUUGUUAGAAUUCAAAUAACAUAAGUAAUCAUGAGCUUGGCUUAAACUCCAAAGCCCAACAAAGGUUCUUUCACACCAGCAUUAUGCUUUAAUAUUAGAAGAUUUGGGGAGUUCCCGGUGUGGCACAGUGGAAAUGAAUCAACUAGUAUAGUAUCCAUGAGGAUUUGGGUUCUAUCCCCGGCCUCACUCAGUGGAUUAAGGAUUUGGAGUUGCUGUGAGCUGUGGUGUAGGCCAGCAGCUGCAGCUCUGAUUCGACCCCUAGUCUAGGAACUUCCUUAUGACACAGGUAUGGCC
rnacentral:lncRNA from 1 species